UACAGCCAAAAGUACAAGAUAGCACUCCAGGGACUUCCAAGUUGAACUUGGAAGUCCCUGGAGUGCUAUCUUGUACUUUUGGAUAUAUAUAUAA